GUGCCAGCCGCCGCGGUAAUACGAAGGGUGCAAACGUUGCUCGGAAUCAUUGGGCGUAAAGCGCACGUAGGCGGCCCUAUAAGUCGGAUGUGAAAUCCCUCGGCUCAACCGAGGACGUGCAUCCGAAACUGCAGGGCUCGAGUAUGGAAGAGGGUCGCGGAAUUCCCGGUGUAGAGGUGAAAUUCGUAGAUAUCGGGAGGAACACCAGUGGCGAAGGCGGCGACCUGGGCCAAUACUGACGCUGAGGUGCGAAAGCGUGGGGAGCAAACAGGAUUAGAAACCCUCGUAGUCC
rnacentral:rRNA from 1 species